UACGAAGGGGGCUAGCGUUGUUCGGAAUUACUGGGCGUAAAGCGCGCGUAGGCGGAUUGUUAAGUGAGGGGUGAAAUCCCAGGGCUCAACCCUGGAACUGCCUUUCAUACUGGCAAUCUAGAGUUCGAGAGAGGUGAGUGGAAUUCCGAGUGUAGAGGUGAAAUGCGUAGAUAUUCGGAGGAACACCAGUGGCGAAGGCGGCUCACUGGCUCGAUACUGACGCUGAGGUGCGAAAGCGUGGGGAGCAAACAGG
rnacentral:rRNA from 1 species